rnacentral:lncRNA from 1 species
GCUCAUUUCAAGUCCAUAACUCUAAUAUAAGGUCCAUAGUGUUAAAGCUUUUCUUGAGUGCACAAUUUACUAGCUUUGGAGUGACUGGUUAUCCUAAGAAAAAAAACUCGGGUACUCAUACUAUUGAGAAUUGAGUCAAGGACAUGAUGCGUAAGCUAUGUGUAUUCAAAGAGAUAUCUUUCUCCCAGAGUAUAUGCUACGAAAGAAAUACUCAAAGGAUAAAGCUUUUGAUCAUAUUUUGGAUCAUAUCAUUGAGCUUUAUUCACUAGAAGUGGCUGUACGAGUAAAGUGAUUGGAGAGAAAACACAGAUUAGUAACUAUUCCUUCUCUGAACCUCUGAUAAUCCGACAAAAAAAAAAGGAGUUGAAUACUGGAUAAUUAAAAGGUGAAGUAUAUUGGAUGUUAUUCGGAAGUGGACUUAAGGAUAUUAUAGAAAAAAUAUGCUUGUUAUUAUGGAUAUACCUAUAUUUAAACGUUUAUCUUACUUUACUUAUUUAAUUUAAAUAUAUUGAUAUGAAUAAAACUAUAUCACGAUA